ACGGGUGAGUAACACGUGACUAACCUACCCUGGAGUUCGGAAUAACCUCGGGAAACCGGGGCUAAUACCGAAUGACACCGAGAGGUCAAAGGAGCAAUUCGCUCUGGGAGGGGGUCGCGGCUGAUUAGCUAGUUGGCAGGGUAAUGGCCUACCAAGGCGACGAUCAGUAUCCGGCCUGAGAGGGCGCACGGACACACUGGAACUGAAACACGGUCCAGACUCCUACGGGAGGCAGCAGUGGGGAAUUUUGCACAAUGGGGGAAACCCUGAUGCAGCAACGCCGCGUGGAGGAUGAAGGUCUUUGGAUUGUAAACUCCUUUCGAUCGGGACGAUUAUGACGGUACCGGAAGAAGAAGCACCGGCUAACUCUGUGCCAGCAGCCGCGGUAAUACAAAGGGUGCAAGCGUUGUUCGGAAUUAUUGGGCGUAAAGGGCGCGUAGGCGGUGCGGUAAGUCUGUGGUGAAAUCCCCUGGCUCAACUGGGAGGCUGCCAUGGAAACUGCCGUGCUUGAGUGUGGGAGAGGUGAGUGGAAUUCCCGGUGUAGCGGUGAAAUGCGUAGA
rnacentral:rRNA from 1 species